GGCCCAGCCACCGUAUUUUGCAGCAGCACCAUUACUAUAAGGAGGAGGUGCUUCAGCUGGUUUUUCCACUGGUAAAGGUUCCCAUCUACUCUUGGAUCUUCUGCUUGGGCUUCUCUUGGACUUUGACAAUGAAGAAAGAGGAGUUGAAACCUGUAGAUUGUCUGAAUUAACUGCAUCUGCACUUGGCAAUGGAAACAGAGGCUCAACGUCCCAGUCUUUUGUAUAAAGCGUGCCAUCAGCAGUUGCUUUCGUAAUCAUCUCCUUUAGAACUGAUUGACAAGAUGUCAUCAGCUUCUCAUCUUUACAUCGUGCCAAAGCCCUCUCAACAUAACCACGCAA
rnacentral:misc_RNA from 1 species